UAUGGUUUAUGUGAGGUUAGAAAGCCAUUCGAAUGGUUCCGGUGAAGUUCGGUGAAGUUCGGAAGUAUUCGGGCGUUUCGGUGCGCAUAUGUGCGGAAACGGGACCCGAAAGGGUAUGUUGGGCCGUGAGCUAAAUCCGGCGUUAGCGCGGAUGAAAAGAUGAGGAAAAUACGCUUGAGAACAUGUUUGGAGAGUCUCGGUUCGAUUUGAGACGAAUCGGAGGUCAAACGAGCGAAAACGGACGAAAACGGGCG
rnacentral:lncRNA from 1 species